UGUAGUUGAGUCUCAUAGCUUUCAGUCCAUUAGCAUUCAUCACGUAUUGUGCUGUCUAUAUGUUACAAGAUAUGGUACAUAUGCAUGGUUAUUGUUACUGUUACUUUCACCAGCAUUAAUGCAAUAACUAACCCCAAUUUUUGGAAACCAUGGCUUUUGGGUGACCAUUGUGGUGCUAUACUAAGAAGAUAUAAUUUAGGUUGUGCC
rnacentral:misc_RNA from 1 species